AUCCUUAUGCAAGGACGAACCCCGAGGAGUGAAGUUCCGACUGACCUGGGGAAGUGCUGGUUGCAAACUACGCCAAAAUCCAUUUGUACAGAUUUAAUUGCUGUGCAGUAAUUUUUGAGACACAAGCGA
rnacentral:snRNA from 1 species